AGAUCAAUGUGACUGGGAGAGUGUGCAGACAAUUGCUACAAGGAGAGACAAUGAGUUAUUAUUCCAUUUUUAAUUUGUUUGUCUGUGUAAAAGAAAUCAAUUAUUGGCCACCACAAAAGUAACCCUAAGUCCUAUCUAACACUGAGUGAAGGGUCUCUUUGGUUUUCUGAUUCAAAAGCCAUGGAAGCAAUAUCCGUGGGAUUCGAUCCUCAUCUCUAUUUUGAAGUGGGAAAGAUAAAAAUCAGUGAGGGAAUGAAAUGUUUGCAAGAUUUGGUACAAUGGUAGAAAAACAACUUGACCCCAGAAAAUGCUGGAAUCCUUUAUGAGCCCAUAGCCUACCUUCAAUCUCUUCAACGACAACCACAGUGAAUAUGGCAAGGGUGUCAACAAGAUGGGGAGACAAUAAGCAUUUCUACAGCAUGAGAAGAGUUUGCAUCACCAAAAUCAGAGCUUGACUCCCAUUGGACAGAUUCUAAGGUUCCUCCACAUCAAGAAUUUGAUAUACUAGAUUGGUGGUGAGCCAACUCUCCAACUUAUCCAACAGUAGCUAGGAUGAUGGCUCGGGACUUCUUAUCAAUACCUAUUUCUAGACCUUUUCUUCCUACACAUUUUGAUUAUUCUUUGAGGAAUGAAAUUGAAAAUAUUUAUAGUGGUGGGUUGGAUGAUGACUUAAAAAAUGCUUUGGUAUGUACAAAAGUUUGGUUGCAAAUUUAUAAUGAAAAAUCUAUGUUUUAUUUA